rnacentral:rRNA from 1 species
UACGAAGGGGCUAGCGUUGCUCGGAAUCACUGGGCGUAAAGCGCACGUAGGCGGAUUGUUAAGUCAGGGGUGAAAUCCUGGAGCUCAACUCCAGAACUGCCUUUGAUACUGGCGAUCUCGAGUCCGGGAGAGGUGAGUGGAACUGCGAGUGUAGAGGUGAAAUUCGUAGAUAUUCGCAAGAACACCAGUGGCGAAGGCGGCUCACUGGCCCGGUACUGACGCUGAGGUGCGAAAGCGUGGGAGCAAACGG